rnacentral:rRNA from 1 species
AUGCAGUAGGGUUUGUUAUCUAAUUGGCUAGUCAAACAUGAGGUGGUUCAUAGAUCUUUGGGCUUUGAUCACCGAGGAAUAGAGACUUUACAAAUAAAAGUAGGGGAUUGGGAUUCCAUUACUGUCAUUUUAUAUGUAUAUGAUAAUCCAGAAGAAGUCUUCAUAAAAGUCUUUGCCCAAAAGGAUAAUCCUAGAAUUUCGUCUGUCUUCUGGAUUUGGAGAAGUGUCGAUUUUCAAGAACGCGAAUCUUAUGAUAUGGUGGGAAUCUCUUACGAUAAUCAUCCGCUCCUUAAACAUAUCCCAAUGCCUGAAAGUUGGAUAUGCUGGCCCUUACGUAAGGAUUAUAUAACCCCCAAUUUUUAUGAAAUACAAGAUGCUCAUUGA